GGCAGGAGGAGAAGGUGGUGACAGAGGAUGAGAUAGUUGGAUGGCAUCACUGACCCAAUGGACGUGAGUUUGAGCAACUUCAGGAGAUAGUUAAGAGCAGGGAAGCCUGGUGUACUGCAGUCCAUGGGGGUAGCAAAGAGUCGGACAUGACUUAGUGACUGAACAACAACAGCAAUUAUCUGAAUUCAUUUUAUUUCUUUUUCAUGCCUUACUCUAGGGGCUAGGACCUGCAGUACAAUGGCUACCAGAUGUAGUGAAAGCAAAUGUCUUCUUUCUUCUCCCAAUUAUAGGAGGAAAGGACUCAGUCUUUCAUUAUUUUAUGACCCAGAAUGGAUGAAUACAUUGCCAAGAUGUUCGGCCAUUCAGAAAUCGUCACCAGCAUGAAGUUCACCUACGACUGAUCACAGUGUCCGGAGACAACUGCGUCUUCGUCCAGCACGUGGGCCGCGAGAUCACCAGCUGCUUGAAGCAGCACUUGCUGGAGAUCAACCCCCAGGAGCAGCAGCAGCAGAACACAAAGGAUAGGAAGGGGAGCAGCCGGCCCAGGCAGGAGGCCAAUACCCAGGCCUGAGAUGUGCUCCCUGAGCCCUGGGAGCAGACGGGGAAUGAGGCAGACGGAGAGUGUGAACCCGAAGAGGUGCUGAAGAUGCCGUCGAAAGAGAGCUUGGGUCCAGAUCUUCAGUGCCUGCUGAUCAACGGCAUGCUGCCACUCUGGGCAAGGCAGCUGGUGAGUCUGCCUGGAAAGCGGGACACCGAGGGGCUAACACAGUAUAGUGCCCUUCUCCAUGCCCCUUGUUUUUCUGGGAACCCUUUCCCCUUGACAUCUCUGCUUUCCUUGGAGAACCCCCGUCCUGCUUCCAGUCUCUGUUAUACAGCCUUUCGUUCAUCCCACGUGUAUUUACUGCAUGCCUACCCU
ensembl:lncRNA